UACGUAGGCAGCAAGCGCUGCUCGGAAUUACUGGGCGUAAAGGGUGCGUAGGCGGUUUUGUAAGUUUGGUGUGAAAUCUCCCGGCUUAACUGGGAGGGUGCGCCGAAAACUGCAAGGCUAGAGUGCAGGAGAGGAGAGUGGAAUUCCUGGUGUAGCGGUGAAAUGCGUAGAUAUCAGGAGGAACCCCGGUGGUGUAGACGGCUCUCUGGCCUGUUACUGUCGCUGAGGCACGAAAGCGUGGGGAGCAAACAGG
rnacentral:rRNA from 1 species